rnacentral:lncRNA from 1 species
AAUGAAUGUGUCUGUAAUCUACAAUUCACAACAAUAGUGGAGCUUGCCUUUAACUGAAGAAUUAUUUGUCAUGUUUAGGACAAGUGCUUGUGGCAGCUGUCUUCUCUGAACAGCAGUCUGGCGAACACCAUACUGUUUCGGCCUCAGUACACUGAAGAUCUAAGAAAACACUUCACACCCUACAACCCCUAAAAAUAACCCAGAUUUGACAGCAGUGCACACCCAUCUGAGGCCAACCUGUUUUACUUCAUGAUCACCCCAGAUACUUCUACAACUAACCCGCUU